rnacentral:rRNA from 1 species
AUUGAACGCUGGCGGCAGGCCUAACACAUGCAAGUCGAGCGGCAGCGGGAAAGUAGCUUGCUACUUUUGCCGGCGAGCGGCGGACGGGUGAGUAAUGCCUGGGGAUCUGCCCAGUCGAGGGGGAUAACUACUGGAAACGGUAGCUAAUACCGCAUACGCCCUACGGGGGAAAGCAGGGGACCUUCGGGCCUUGCGCGAUUGGAUGAACCCAGGUGGGAUUAGCUAGUUGGUGAGGUAAUGGCUCACCAAGGCGACGAUCCCUAGCUGGUCUGAGAGGAUGAUCAGCCACACUGGAACUGAGACACGGUCCAGACGCCUACGGGAGGCAGCAGUGGGGAAUAUUGCACAAUGGGGGAAACCCUGAUGCAGCCAUGCCGCGUGUGUGAAGAAGGCCUUCGGGUUGUAAAGCACUUUCAGCGAGGAGGAAAGGUUGGUAGCUAAUAACUGCCAGCUGUGACGUUACUCGCAGAAGAAGCACCGGCUAACUCCGUGCCAGCCGCCGCCGUAA